rnacentral:lncRNA from 10 species
CUCCAUUUUCAGAAUUGUGAGGGUGAGCGAGAGGGGCUGCCCGGCGUGUGCAGACUCUGCGCCGGCUCGUCUGUUUGGGGAGCUGUUGGUUAUCUUUAGGGAUGGGAAGACAUACAAGAAAGCAACCAGUUACUGGAUUAUAUGAGGAAGGCUGUGACAGAGGCCAUACCGGAUGCUGCAGGAACACAGAAAAAGAAGGAUCUACGCCCUUUGAUGAAUUCCCAGGAAGCCUUCCCAGAUGUGUCAGUGGGCUCUUGAAGGGUGCUCAUCUACUGGAAAGGCUUCAACUUUCACCUUUGCUGAUGACGUUCCAGUCCCAGUCUGCCCAAUCUGAAUUCUUCCUCAGCCUCUGCUUAGCUUCCUAUCCUCCGUUCCUUCUCCUAUGAUCUAGGCAGACAUUGAGGAUUAUGCCUGGCACAUUUUCUCAGAGGGCCAAGGCACAGCCUUAAUUUUCUACUCAACUGGGAGCUCUAGGCACCCAUUACCAUUCAGAGUUGGCAUUCGAGACAAAAACUAUUUUUUUCCUGAAUCUAGUCCUUUUAAUUUUAAGCACCUUAAGGAAUAUACCUUUUAAAGUGUCUUGAAGGAUUUCAUUCCCCCAUUCAUUCAGCAAACUGUAAAGAGCUUCCCAUGUGCUGCCUGUUGAAUGCAACAUCCUCCCUCUCAAACCCUCUCCUGCUCAACAGGUCCCCUGCUAUCAAUGAUACCAGCAAUAGCACUGAAAGAAUAAAUAUACACCAGAUAACACAGAGUAAACAUCCAGCAAUAGGACUACUGGGUUACAUGCUCUGCUGGAAAUCCCAUAAACAUGUCUCAAAUAAUUCUGCCAUGAUGGAAAGCAAGAAAAAUGGGACGGGAAGCUGUGUGAGGAAAGAGACUUUACAACCAAGACUUUGAAGCUACAACAAUUCAAUAAUAAAAGAGAAUGAAGAGUUGGGCUCUGGUGUAAUUGAAACUUUUUCUUCCAUCUUUCCUUCCUUAAAAACAAAUCAUAAGUCAAUAUACUGUACCAGAUGUGCUGAGAU